rnacentral:rRNA from 1 species
AGACAGCAGUCGCCACGGUAAUACGGAGGGUGCAAGCGUUAAUCGGAAUUACUGGGCGUAAAGCGCACGCAGGCGGUCUGACAAGUCAGAUGUGAAAUCCCCGGGCUUAACCUGGGAACUGCAUUUGAAACUGUCAGGCUGGAGUCUUGUAGAGGGGGGUAGAAUUCCAGGUGUAGCGGUGAAAUGCGUAGAGAUCUGGAGGAAUACCGGUGGCGAAGGCGGCCCCCUGGACAAAGACUGACGCUCAGGUGCGAAAGCGUGGGGAGCAAACAGGAUUAGAUACCCCAGUAGUCCCUGUCUCUUAUAC